UGGGGAAUUUUGGACAAUGGGGGAAACCCUGAUCCAGCAAUACCGCGUGAGUGAAGAAGGCCUUCGGGUUGUAAAGCUCUUUCGGCCGGGACGAAAUCGCUCUGGUGAAUAUCCAGGGUGGAUGACGGUACCGGAAUAAGAAGCACCGGCUAACUACGUGCCAGCAGCCGCGGUAAUACGUAGGGUGCGAGCGUUAAUCGGAAUUACUGGGCGUAAAGCGUGCGCAGGCGGUUUUGUAAGUCAGACGUGAAAGCCCCGGGCUUAACCUGGGAAUUGCGUUUGAAACUGCAAGGCUAGAGUACGGCAGAGGGGGGUAGAAUUCCACGUGUAGCAGUGAAAUGCGUAGAUAUGUGGAGGAAUACCGAUGGCGAAGGCAGCCCCCUGGGCUAGUACUGACGCUCAUGCACGAAAGCGUGGGGAGCAAACAGG
rnacentral:rRNA from 1 species